UGAGGAAUAUUGGUCAAUGGUCGGAAGACUGAACCAGCCAAGCCGCGUGAAGGAAGAAGGUGCUCGGCAUCGUAAACUUCUUUUGUCAGGGAACAAAGGGCGGUACGAGUACCGCUGUGAGUGUACCUGAAGAAAAGCAUCGGCUAACUCCGUGCCAGCAGCCGCGGUAAUACGGAGGAUGCGAGCGUUAUCCGGAUUUAUUGGGUUUAAAGGGUGCGCAGGCGGCGCGGUAAGUCAGCGGUAAAAGCCCGGGGCUCAACCCCGGCGAGCCGUUGAAACUGCCGUGCUAGAGUAAGGUCGAGGUAUGCGGAAUGCGCGGUGUAGCGGUGAAAUGCAUAGAUAUCGCGCAGAACUCCGAUUGCGAAGGCAGCAUACCGGACCUUUACUGACGC
rnacentral:rRNA from 1 species